AAACGUUGCUCGGAAUCAUUGGGCGUAAAGCGCAUGUAGGCGGCAUGUUAAGUCGGGUGUGAAAGCCCAAGGCUCAACCUUGGAAGUGCAUUCGAAACUGGCGUGCUUGAAUAUGGACGAGGGUCGCGGAAUUCCCGGUGUAGAGGUGAAAUUCGUAGAUAUCGGGAGGAACACCAGUGGCGAAGGCGGCGACCUGGGCCAAUAUUGACGCUAAGAUGCGAAAGCGUGGGGAGCAAACAGG
rnacentral:rRNA from 1 species